rnacentral:rRNA from 1 species
GAUUAACGCUGGCGGCGUGCAUAACACAUGCAAGUCGAACGAUGAAACUUAAAUGAUUUCUUCGGAAUGAACUUAAGUGGAUUAGUGGCGGACGGGUGAGUAACGCGUGAGUAACCUGCCUUACACAAGGGGAUAGCCGUUGGCAACGACGAAUAAUACCCUAUGAUGUUUCUAUCGCGCAUGAGAUAUUAACAAAUGUGUUAGCGGUGUAAGAUGGACUUGCGUCUUAUUUGCUCGUUGGUGAGAAAAAAGCCCACAAAGGCAAGGAUCAGUAGCCGGCUUGGAGGAGUGUACGGCACACUUGGGACUGGACACCGGCCCAGACUCCUAGGGAGGGAAGCAGUGGGGAAAUUUGCAAAAUGGGGGAAACCCUGAUGCAGCAACGCGGCGUGGUUUAGAAGGCCUUAGGGUUGUAAAGAUCUUUUGCACAGGAAGAUAAUGACAGUACUAUACGAAUAAGCUCCGGCUAACUACGUG